UGAUUGACGUUUGUUUAGUCCAUUGUGAUUGCUUUCGCCUGAUAUAUCGAUGAAGCUCGAUUGAAGAACCGGGAGGCUAGACCACAUGACCGGGAUAUCCGUCCUGAAUCUCGUUUGAGAACGAGUGGAUGUUUUGGCAAGUGUGGAAUGCAACAACGACCGCAGGACGCGUGAAAUGUGGGACGUGUGAAGCGUUGGCGGAGCUGAGUGUUUUGUCGUCGUUGUGAAACGGGGCAUUGUGGGAUCUGCAGGCGCCGUUCACCCACCAGGACCUGACGGGCGCCACAUGGUUCGGCAGAAGGGUGUGAUUUUUAGGCCUCGAUGGUCUGCGGCCCCACUUGGCGGAAUGCAGGACGAGUUACCGAUGGCCUUUAAAUAGGAUCAACUCAGGCUGAUCCUAAAAACUGACGAACUCGUCAGCUGCAGACGAUGGAUUAUAAAGGUUGACUUUUUAACCGUCGCCUGGCCCAAUCACAGAUCACGCGCCCCAAAGUCGGCGAAGGUACACGACAGUGAGCCUUUUCAGAGGGAUUCCGAUGUCAGGUCCAAUCAUGGACAUACAUCCAAGGGAGAGGGGGCGGGGGGGUGUCCCCCCAAACUCUGGGAAAAGAUCAAAUAGUCCCACCCCAUAUUAGCACGUUGUAUUGGGUGGAGGUUUUAGUGUCCUCUCCAAGAAAAAUCCUAAGGAACAUGUCCCGUUUGUUGUCCCUCGACCUUGAAAUGAGAUCUGCGUCUCUGGCUCCCAUCCUCCAGCACGUCUCCUCCCUUCACGCUGUCUGAGCAAACACAAAGCCGUCGUCUGCACUCGCUGGUGUUGUGACAGAAGGAAAAAUCUAUUCACCAAAAAGGCUGUGAAUAGACUGGUGUGCGCUUACAUGGAUAAUGCAGUUACCCCAUAAAGGACACUAUUAACAGAAUCAGGAACUCUUCAGAGAAAAGGAUGUCUUUUAUUUAUUUUUUUUUUUUUUUUGGAUUAGAGGACUUUUUAAAUCUUUAAUGGAAGCAACCACUGUCUUCGUACGUUUGCUAUUUAGUAAUCAAAUGUACUUUUAAUAAUCAAAUCAAAUAUAUUUUAACAUACUUAUUAGAUUUGUAUGUUCCAUUGACUUGCAUUGUAAGUGUGCUUUCAGCGAGAGUUGUGCUUGGCUUGAUAACGGACUGCUUAUAAAACAGACACAAUAGCUGUAUUCUUUUGGCUCAAUAAUAAAAUUUUCACAGUA